rnacentral:rRNA from 1 species
GACGAACGCUGGCGGCGUGCUUAACACAUGCAAGUCGAACGGAAAGGCCCUGCUUUUGUGGGGUGCUCGAGUGGCGAACGGGUGAGUAACACGUGAGUAACCUGCCCUUGACUUUGGGAUAACUUCAGGAAACUGGGGCUAAUACCGGAUAUGAGCUCCUGCUGCAUGGUGGGGGUUGGAAAGUUUCGGCGGUUGGGGAUGGACUCGCGGCUUAUCAGCUUGUUGGUGGGGUAGUGGCUUACCAAGGCUUUGACGGGUAGCCGGCCUGAGAGGGUGACCGGCCACAUUGGGACUGAGAUACGGCCCAGACUCCUACGGGAGGCAGCAGUGGGGAAUAUUGCACAGUGGGGGGAAGCCUGAUGCAGCAACGCCGCGUGCGGGAUGACGGCCUUCGGGUUGUAAACCGCUUUCGCCUGUGACGAAGCGUGAGUGACGGUAAUGGGUAAAGAAGCACCGGCUAACUACGUG